rnacentral:lncRNA from 1 species
AUGAAUAAAGGGUAAAACUUUUGUCAAAUAAGAAAAUAUCUCAAAAUAGGUGGAACAUUCAAAAUGAAAAUUGUUUCACGAUAGAUGGGAUGGAGGGAGUAUAAAUUUUUAUAUUUAAAAUAUCAAAAUUUUCUUCUUUCAAAUCGAAUUUUUAAGAUUUUUAUGUCGAAUAAAAGUUGAAAAGAACAUCAAAAGGUUCGAAAUAAAUAUGGUCAAAAAGAGAAAAAAAAAAACUUUCAAGUAACCAUCCCAUGCGCGCGUGGACAACACACAAAAAAUCAGAC